GAUUGGAUUGAGCCUUAGUAUGGAAACCUGCUAAGUGGUAACUUCCAAAUUCAGAGAAACCCUGGAAUUAAAAAUGGGCAAUCCUGAGCCAAAUCUUUGUUUUGAAAGAAGAAACGAUGGAAAAUGAGAAGAAAAAGGGAUAGGUGCAGAGACUCAAUGGAAGCUGUUCUAACGAAUGAAAUUGACUACGUUACGUACGUUACGUUAGUAGCUAAAAUAUUUCUAUAUAUACCUAAUACGUACGUAUACAUACUGAUAUAGCAAACGAUUAAUCACAACCCAAAUCUUCUAUUUCUUCUUUCUUUCUAUUCUAUAUUAUUUCUAUUCUAGAAUAAGGAUCUAUAGAAACCCUCUAGUUCUAUAUUUCUAUUCUCUAUGAAUUAGAAUGAUAGAGAUCAAAAACUAUAUGAAAAAUUGAAGAGUUAUUGUGAAUCAAUUCCAAUUGAAGUUGAAAAAAGAAUCGAAUUCAAAUAUUCAGUGAUCAAAUGAUUCAUUCCAGAGUUUGAUAGAUCUUUUUAAGAUUAAUUGGACGAGAAUAAAGAGAGAGUCCCAUUUUACAUGUCAAUACCGACAACAAUGAAAUUUCUAGUAAGAGGAAAAUCCGUCGAAUUUUUAAAUCGUGAGGGUUCAAGUCCCUCUAUCCCCA
rnacentral:ncRNA from 1 species